rnacentral:lncRNA from 10 species
CAGGAGCCUGGAGAGAAUGGCUCGGCACAGCAGAUGCAGCCGUGGUGGCCAUGGAGCUGACCAGCCUCUUGGGAGUGAGCUGGCCACCUGAGCACGGUCCACUCAGCCCACACAAGCAGCAGCACCACCUCGCUGACAGGAGCUUCGUCAAUGCCUGCCGCCUCCUCCUUCCAUAACGAGGGACCACCUAGCAGGGACUUUCACUUUUAUUUCCACAGAGAACCUUGUGGUUAGAAGUCCAAUGGGUCUAGGCUGUGGGAAUCUUCUUAUUAACCACAAACAGAUGUCAAAAGGAUCUUUCCUAAUACUGUAGAUACUGCACUUGGCUCGUGUGGGAGUCCACUGUCUGUGGAAACAUUACUCGUCUAUUUUUCAGGUCUGCAGAGCCCAGACUGAAAAACACAUUAAAAAAAUGGUUUUGUGAAAAAUAACAAUUCAGACACCCUGGAGCCUAAGGAAA